CAGCCGCCACGGUAAUACGUAGGGUGCAAGCGUUAAUCGGAAUUACUGGGCGUAAAGCGUGCGCAGGCGGUUCGUUAAGACAGAUGUGAAAUCCCCGGGCUUAACCUGGGAACUGCAUUUGUGACUGGCGGGCUAGAGUAUGGCAGAGGGGGGUAGAAUUCCACGUGUAGCAGUGAAAUGCGUAGGGAUGUGGAGGAAUACCGAUGGCGAAGGCAGCCCCCUGGGCCAAUACUGACGCUCAUGCACGAAAGCGUGGGGAGCAAACAGGAUUAGAUACCCCUGUAGUCCCUGUCUCUUAUAC
rnacentral:rRNA from 1 species